rnacentral:rRNA from 1 species
GACGAACGCUGGCGGCGUGCCUAAUACAUGCAAGUCGAACGCAGGGGGGAAUGGUGAGUAACACGUGGGUAACCUGCCCAUCAGUGGGGAUAACGCUUGGAAACAGGUGCUACACCGAUACGGAUGGCUGGACCCGCGGUGCAUUAGCUAGUUGGUGGGGGAACGGCUCACCAAGGCCACGAUUCAUAGCCGACCUGAGAGGGUGAUCGGCCACACUGGGACUGAGACACGGCCCAGACUCCUACGGGAGGCAGCAGUAGGGAAUCUUCCGCAAUGGACGAAAGUCUGACCGAGCAACGCCGCGUGAGUGAAGAAGGUUUUCGGGUUGUAAAACACUUUUGUUAGGGAAGCGGUACCUACCCAGAAAGCCACGGCUAACUACGUGCCAGCAGCCGCGGUAAUUC